UGUUGUUUCCACCGUAUGGACCAAACUGUUACCCCUUUCUACCAGCAGGUGGCAGUAUUUAAACGACUGACUGUAUUGUGCCUUUGGCAACUGUUUUAAAUCAAGAUUACUGAUACAGAUGUAUUAAUUGAUGUUCAUUUCAUUUUUUUAUAUUAUUUGCAACCUAGUUAUCAUCACCGUCUGCAUGCCCUUCUGUUUUAACCUGAUUCACUGCUAUCAUCUCCAUGCUGGUAUGUUCAAAUCAGAAAUGUCCUAAUGUAGGCCAUUUAGUCAAAACAAUGAUUUACCAGUGUGCUAUAUACUGUGUGAAUCUUUCUUCUCUAUACACAUUCCAGUGUGUAUAACAUACAACACUCCCAUUGUGUCACGCAAGUGAAGAUAAGCCAUAAAGGUCUUAAACAUUUAUUCAACAUAAUAGCACAGACAUGCUUUCAAAGACAUUGCAUGUGCAAUAUAUGGUUGCAGAACAUUUACCGUGAAGUCCUAAGGCUUAUAAUUCUGUUUAGUAUAAUUGCUUCUAUAUACAGUUCAUGGAGAUCUCUGCUAAUGAGUUUAUGAUUUGAAUCAUGUGUGUUAAAUAAGGGAGACAUACAAAAUGUGCAGAGCAGUGGGAUCCAGGAAUAACAUUGAGAACCACUGGUCUACAGGACCAGAGAAGACAGCAAACCAUGCAGAAGAGACCCCAAAGGAUACUAAAGGACAGUACCCGCCCAGCCACAACCUGUUCACCCUGCUGCCUUCUGGAAACAAUAGAAGUUUCUGCUGCCAGACUGUAGAGCAGCCCCCCCCCCCCCCCAAGUAAUCGGACUGGUAAACUCUAGUUCAUCCUUAGCACUCCUCCACUGAUUAUAAUUUAUUUCUGUUUAUUAUAAUUGGUUCUAUAUUAAUGUAUAUUGUCUGCUAUAGCAAAAGCAAGUUACAAACUCAAUUAAUACUUUAUAUUAUAUAACCUGUUACAUUGUGACAAAAUACAUCUACCCUCCUACUUUAAAGAAGAAUAAAGUGAAUGUUUUGGAAAUGCCAAGUCAAAAGUUCUGACCUUAAAAUUAUUGAAAUGUUGGGGAAGGAUGAGGAAGCAAGCAGCUCAUGUGAGGAAACCGACCAAUAUUGGUGCUAAAGCUGUUCUGUACAGAGCAAUGGGCAAAUAUUCAUCCAAGCCAAUAAGCAGGAUUGCUCAAAAGUUACUGGAAACGUUUUGUUGCAAUUAUUGCUGCUUUACUCAGCAUGGACAGCUUGUUUUUAGUAAUGCAAUUAUGUUUUUGGACUUUCUUUUUAGGACCUUGUAAAAUGUUCUAACUUUAGGGCUUAACUGUAAAUGUUCUGCAACCAUAGAUUGCACAUGCAAUGUCUUUGAAAGCAUGUCUGUGCUAUAUAUGUUGAAUAAAUGUUUAAAACUUG